GCAAGGGGUCACCUAGGCCCCCAAAUCAGAGGCCCAGGAUGGAAACAAUGACCUCCAGAGCUCUGGAUGACAACAGCGGGUCAUGGAGAGCACGUAGCCAGCGUCCAGCCCUCCGCAGCUGCUCCCUGGCC